UUGCAAAUGAAUGUAGGAAUGAAUGAAUGAGUUGUUUGAAUCCAAAUAGACAAAUUUACUUGUAAAAUAAAACCAUAUUGAUGUUGCGAUUAUCUUUUAAGUUCCCAAAUCAGGCGCCCGAAGAUGUUAGGUAUCGGUUUGGAGCAAUGAGUGAUUCAAUAAUCACUCUCUGAUUUAAAAGUUAACUGAUAAUGUCAUGUCCCAGAGAAGGAGGAUUCACCCUCUAUUUAUCUGGUGUCAUAGAUUUUUCUGAAGGGUGGAGAGAAUGAUUUCUCCUUCAAACCAUACAAAUAUAAUUUUGUGUCAACACACAAAUGCAAGGAUAUUAUACAUGCGCUUUGUUGCUAUUGUGUUGUUUUUUUUUCUUUUCUUUUCUUUCUUUCUUUCUUUUUUUUUUUUUUUUUUUUUGAGACAGAGUUUCGCUCUUGUUGCCCAGGCUGUAGUGCAAUGGCACGAUCUCGGCUCACCACACCUCUGCCUCCUGGGCUCAAGCCAUUCUCCUGUCUCAGCCUCCCAAAGUGCUGGGAUUACAGGUGUGAGCCACCGCACUCUUCUUAUAUCUAUUGGAAUCCUAUCUAUUCUGCAAGGCUAGCUUUUCUUUUGUCUUCUGUGAAAACUUUCUUUGAGCUUUCCAGCUGAAAUUACUUCUCUUUCCACAAUUAUUCCACAAGACUUUAUUGCUUUUGUUAGUCUGACAUUUGCAUCUAUAUUUCUGAGUUAAUUGCUGUAGAUCUAAUCUCCUGUUAGGGCUGGAACAGCACAGGAGACACAGUCUUAUUUAACUUGGUAUCCCCACUGCCUGGCACAGGGUCUGCCUGACACCUGUUUGUGCUCCUGAAAUCAUAUUUAUUUGGAACCCCUGCAAGAUGUCCGGUCUGGUCUGGAUGACAACAGCUGGAAGAGCCCUGAAUUAAAGUAUCUUGUAGAUCCUCAGAAAACACUUACUGACUGAUGGCUUGAUUUUCAGCAAAGAGUUUUAGAAAGGGAUUCCUGAUUAAUCUUUCUUGUCACAACAGUAAAUCCACCAAAACACUUUCUUCCUCUGAGUAUUCUGGUGACUCCAGGUCUCACAAUACAAGAAGUCUUUCAUUUCAGUAUUUUAUUUCCAUGAUUAUUUUUUGCUGAUUUUAAAAGUAGCAGAUGGCCAAUUUGGAAAACUUGGAAACUACAAAAAGUUUAAAGAAGAAAAUAAUAAUAAUACAAUAUUGAAGUAUUUUGUUGUGUUUUUAUGGGGUAUGCAAUUUUCAAGAUUAAACUUCAACAUAUAAUUUAAUGACAUUUUUCACUUACUAGAACAUCAAAGCCAUUUUCCAUGUCAUUAAA
rnacentral:lncRNA from 1 species